GCUCCCGGUGGGGCCCUCUCGGGGGAAGGGGCCUCGGUCCCGGAUCCCGGCGAGGCGUCCCUUCUCCGCUCCGUAAAAGUGUCCAUCUCUUCUUUUUUUUCUUCUUCUGUUGUGGCAUAUGCUGCAGGUGCCUGCUCGUUUUUCGUAUGUGGGUAACAACAUUUAACUAUGUAUAUAUAUUUCCCAAUUGGUUUAACUGCCACCCGCCUGAAUCUAUUUAAAAUCUAUUUUUUAUUUUUUUCAACCGCCCGACCCGACCCGUGGAUAAAAUCUAAUUUUUUUUUAAUUUCAUCCGCCCGAUCCGCGGAUAAUCCGCGGACUCCGCGGUUGUGCCCGCAAACCGCGCAUCUCUAGUACAGAACAUGUAUAAAAAAAAGAACUUCGAAAGAGGUAUUCUGGCACCCCCUAGUGGCGACACCCUGCUGGUGCCGCCCUUAAACAGGCCGCUAGAGGGCGUUCCAAAAAUAACAUUUGAGCGGGUCUUUUUAAAAAUGGCGGCGGCACCCAAUCAGCAUGCAGACGGCGUCACUACCUGACACAAAUGUUCCCACAGUUUAAAGAUUUCAAAGCGUCCACUGGAAGGAUUUAUUUCCUACUCGGAGCGAGGAAGGUGUGUGUUGAGUUGUUCGUGUCACCGUGUCUGAGCAAAAGACAAAAGCGUUUAUUUAAUAAAAGACUUGUGCUGACUCAUGGCUGUUCUCCGUCGUGUCGGUGGGUCAUUGGCUGACGGAGUGGACUUCCGGGCGGGGGACACGCCGUCAUGGCCCCGGCGAAGUGCAUCGAGUGUCGGCGUGAUGACGGCGAGAUGACGGCGUCGCUGUGCGGGAGAAGACGACGUCUUAAGUGAGGUUUUCCCUGAGGUCGAGGGUGAGAUGGCGCGGCGGGGGACACGCCGUCAUAGCCUCGGCCAAGUGCAUCAGGUCCACCGGGUUGAUGGAGUUGAGGCUGUGCGGGAGAAGACAAAGACAUCUUAGUCAAGGUGAGGCCCCGCCAAAAGGUGCACAUCCUUUCCGGCACGCAGCUACGUCCAGUGAUUCCAGCGCAAGGUGGAGGAGGCCGACCUGAUGAAGGAGGAGUACCGCAUCUCCAGGACCGUGCGUCUGGCCUGGUUCCUGGGUCAACUCAACCAAGUCAUCUGGCCCACCUCCAAGCCUGAGCUGCGUGGUGAGGAGUUUCCUUUGAGAGAAUCCGGUCGGCAGGUGCAUGCCUUGCACAUGAAGCCGGAGCAGGCGGGGGCAGCGUCUCAGCACGGGCAAGAGGAAAGUGGGCGAGGUCAGCUGCCCGUCCAGCGUGAUUGACAGGCACUCCAGCCGAAGGUCACCUGCGGGACGGGAAGGUUUUGCCCAGCGAAGUCCUCGAAAUCCACUUUGAGCGUGGUCAGCCUGGGGCAGGCGUGCAGAAGGACGGCCAGCAGUGACGUGCAUGUCACGGAGAAGAUGGACAGAUGUCUGAGGGAAGCGUGGGGGCGUCGGGACAGCUUCUCCAGCGCCGCCGCCAGGUGAAGUGUACAGUGCCAGGUGCCUCAAAAAGGCCCAAAACAUCAUAAGGGACCCAUCUCACCCCGGACAUCAACUUUUUUUGAACUACCGAGGUACAGGACAAUAAAAUGCCGCAC